rnacentral:rRNA from 1 species
UACGAAGGGUGCUAGCGUUGCUCGGAAUCACUGGGCGUAAAGGGUGCGUAGGCGGGCCUUUAAGUCAGGGGGGAAAUCCUGGAGCUCAACUCCAGAACUGCCUUUGAUACUGAAGAUCUUGAGUCCGGGAGAGGUGAGUGGAACUGCGAGUGUAGAGGUGAAAUUCGUAGAUAUUCGCAAGAACACCAGUGGCGAAGGCGGCUCACUGGCCCGGUACUGACGCUGAGGCACGAAAGCGUGGGGAGCAAACAGG